GUGCCAGCCGCCGCGGUAAUACGGAGGGGGCUAGCGUUGUUCGGAAUUACUGGGCGUAAAGCGCACGUAGGCGGAUCAGAAAGUUGGGGGUGAAAUCCCGGGGCUCAACCUCGGAACUGCCUUCAAAACUAUUGGUCUUGAGUUCGAGAGAGGUGAGUGGAAUUCCGAGUGUAGAGGUGAAAUUCGUAGAUAUUCGGAGGAACACCAGUGGCGAAGGCGGCUCACUGGCUCGAUACUGACGCUGAGGUGCGAAAGCGUGGGGAGCAAACAGGAUUAG
rnacentral:rRNA from 1 species